rnacentral:rRNA from 1 species
ACAGCAGCCGCCGCGGGAAUACGAAGGGUGCAAGCGUUAAUCGGAAUUACUGGGCGUAAAGCGUGCGUAGGCGGUGAGUUAAGUCUGCUGUGAAAUCCCCGGGCUCAACCUGGGAAUGGCAGUGGAUACUGGCUCGCUAGAGUGUGUCAGAGGAUGGCGGAAUUCCCGGUGUAGCGGUGAAAUGCGUAGAGAUCGGAAGGAACAUCUGUGGCGAAGGCGACUAUCUGGGCCAACACUGACACUGAGGCACGAAAGCGUGGGGAGCAAACAGGAUUAGAUACCCCCGUAGUCCCUGUCUCUUAUAA